AACGAUACAAAUGUUAAAAAAAACAAGGGCCCAUAAAACUUUUUUCAUUAAAGUAAUAGGCAAUAUAAGUAAGGUAACGUUACAGUUAGUGACGCUGUAACGUUAACUAAGAACACCCGUUAAGCCCUAUAGUUUCAAAUGUAAGAGGUCAAAAUGGUUGUAUUUACCGAAAUUGUGGCGAUUAUAUAGAUAAUUUGCUAUUCUGUAACGUUAGAUAAAUGGACCAACGCAAACACAGGUUGUGGACCCUGGUUUUCAGACCGUAACGUUACAGACGUUGGGAUUGAGUACACGGUUAACUUGGUUAUUUUGCUAUUUAAGCUGCUUUUGUUUGGUAGUGUAAAGCAAAACUAAUUCUAACAUUUGGUUUUGGUUUAGGGAGCCAGCAGCAUACUGCUCGAUUUAUUCUAUAGAGGGGGAGAACGAUGAGCUGUUCACCGGGGUGAAAUACUCAGCAAGUGUGGCUUGGGGGAAAAUUCUGGAGAAAAUAGGCCUGCAGGGGAAGGUGACUCCCCUGCAGGCAAAGAAAAAAUGGGACAAUUAAAAAAAAUAUAUAAA